GUAACAUAUAGUUAAUGUACCUUCAAGACUGGGAUAGCCACUGGAAACGGUGAUUAAUACUAGAUAUACCUUCAUAUCAAAAGCUAUGAAGGGAAACGUUUUUUCGCUUGAAGAUCAGACUAUAUCCCAUCAGUUAGUUGGUAGGGUAAUGGCCUACCAAGGCAAUGACGGGUAGCGGGUUUGAGAGGAUGAUCCGCCACACUGGUACUGAGACACGGACCAGACUCCUACGGGAGGCAGCAGUGAGGAAUAUUGCACAAUGGAGGAAACUCUGAUGCAGCAACGCCGCGUGGAGGAUGACGCAUUUCGGUGUGUAAACUCCUUUUAUGAGUCAAGAAAAUGACGGUAGCUCAUGAAUAAGCACCGGCUAACUCCGUGCCAGCAGCCGCGGUAAUACGGAGGGUGCAAGCGUUACUCGGAAUCACUGGGCGUAAAGGACGCGUAGGCGGGAUGCCAAGUCUGAUGUGAAAUCCUAUGGCUUAACCAUAGAACUGCAUUGGAAACUGGUAACCUAGAGUAUGGGAGGGGGAGAUGGAAUUAGUGGUGUAGGGGGUAAAAUCCGUAGAUAUCACUAGGAAUACCGAAAGCGAAGGCGAUCUCCUGGAACAUAACUGACGCUAAGGCGUGAAAGCGUGGGGAGCAAACGGGAUUAGAUACCCCGGUAGUCCACGCCCUAAACGAUGAACACUAGUCGUCGCUCUGCUUGUCAGGGCGGUGAUGCACUUAACAGAUUAAGUGUUCCGCCUGGGGUGUACGGUCGCAAGAUUAAAACUCAAAGGAAUAGACGGGGACCCGCACAAGUGGUGGAGCAUGUGGUUUAAUUCGAAGAUACGCGAAGAACCUUACCUAGCCUUGACAUUGAUAGAAUACCCUAGAGAUAGAGUAGUGCCUUUCGGGGAACUUGAAAACAGUGCUGCACGGCUGUCGUCAGCUCGUGUCGUGAGAUGUUGGGUUAAGUCCCGCAACGAGCGC
rnacentral:rRNA from 1 species